UACGUAGGGGGCAAGCGUUGUCCGGAAUCAUUGGGCGUAAAGCGCGUGUAGGCGGCUCGGUAAGUCUGCUCUGAAAGCCUGGGGCUCAACCCUGGGAGGCGGGUGGAUACUGCUGAGCUCGAGUCCGGAAGAGGCGAGUGGAAUUCCUGGUGUAGCGGUCAAAUGCGCAGAUAUCAGGAGGAACACCAAUGGCGAAGGCAGCUCGCUGGGACGGUACUGACGCUGAGACGCGAAAGCGUGGGGAGCAAACAGG
rnacentral:rRNA from 1 species